GUUAAGAAGUGGAUCACCUAGGUUAACAGAGCUCAAUGAUUUUGUCCGUCGACUUUACAAGAAAAGUUAAUUGAUGUACUCAGUUUUUGUGAGACAAAGGUAACCCCAAUUGUUGAGGGUUAUGGAGGCUGGGCUUUUCGUAUGGAAAUUGUACCGAUGGAAUCUGCAUAUCCUGGAUUUGGUGAACUUGUAGUUUUGGAUUCUACAGACCAUGUAAAUUCUUGUAAGCCAUUAAGCAGGGCUGAUCCAUCCUAUAAAGAUACACUGGAGUUUAUGAAAAAGCUGAAAUCGCAUUACACCCUCGAAGGUUCUGCUCGAAAGUAGAUAUACACUCACCUCAACUCCCAGUGCUAUGCAAUCGAUGUUCUGAAGUGCAGUUGGAGCCUCGACGUCUCUGCGCGGGUACUGAGUUCUCAUUCUUGAUUAUGUCUGUUCGUCAAGAGUGACUACGGUGUCUCUAUGUUAGAAGUUCUAUUCGAUAGUAAGCUUAUGGUGUUGAUGCGAUUACGGUGAUAACGGAGCAACACUUGCUGUUGGCCGUGGAGAUGAAGAAACCGAUGCCUGAGAAUAUUUUCUGGUGAGAUUUUUCAGCUAGAGGUUCUUGAUGAUUCUUUCUGUAGAUUGCAGAAUUACGUUAUUUGUUGUAGCACUGAAAAUAUUUAAGUUUUAGGAUAGGAAACAAACUAUUAUAGGAAUCAUAGUUCAUUACCUCUCAACGAUAACAUGUUAUGUAGCUGAUUAGACUGUUGUAUGUAAUUUUUUUGAGGGAAUAAAUGAAUGGAAAAGGUAAAGGAUGA